CCCAUAGCGUUGCCGUGAGCCCCGUUCUGUUAAUCCGUAGGUCCCUGGUUCGAGUCCAGGUCGGGGAGCCA
rnacentral:tRNA from 1 species